AGUUUGGAAAAAAAGAUAAAGAGCAGCAAACGGUGGCAUCAGUCCUCUUCCUGUCUGAUCAAGUUCAAAGUGAGCAGCAGAAACUUUCCAGAGUCUGAGCAACUGGGAGUUCCGUUCUUUCUUCACUGGCUGAGCUGCCUUCUCUCUGGGGAAAACGGGGCUACAGUUGCUGAAAGCAUCUUUGAAUCAGGAUACUGGAGCCUUACCAAAUAAGAAAAUCCAUAUAAUACCUGUGCUUCUUGCAGUAUGAUUAUGCUGCCGGAGAAGAUUGCAUCGCGGCGUUCUGAAAGCACAGAUCUAGCUGCACAAGGGCGUUCUGAUUUGCAUAUCAGUUCAAGAAGCAUGGAUUGGGUGUGUCUGUAGUUGCAAUUCUGCCCUGCAGCAGUGGCUGAAUUGAGAGCAGUCAAGUGGAGAUUCAGCAAAGCUACCCAGUUCUGAACUGCCAGAAAAGAGGAAAGCUAUCACCAAAAAGGAGGACAAAGCAGGUUCACGCUGCACGAAUUGAAUUUGUGCCUCUAAACACUUCCCAGGAUCCACCGAACAUGCAAAGGUUAUUUGAUGGAUGGACAAGAGUUUCUUGGCGGACUUGCAGGCUUGGAUAGAAGGCCCAUUCAAACAGAAGACACCUUCAACAAGAUGAUGGUCCUUGGCAGCUUUUCAAACAGAGAACUGUCUUUUGUAAAGAAGGGCACUUAGCCAUCUCUCUUAUUUAAAAUAGAGGCUUAGCUGCAACAUACAGAGACUGAUCACAAGACAUCUUGGUUCCCAGGCAGCAAGUGCAAAAGGUAUCCCAAAGCUGUAGGAGUAUGGGGAGACACAGAUUAUUAAUCUAAAAAAAAUUGGCAGUAUACUGUUCCUUGAUGGAACCGUUCCCCUCACCUCACACAGAUAUUUAUCACCUAUUUGGGGGACUGCAUCAUGGCAAAUGGUAGAAACAACCCUGGGAGUUGGUCUGGGGGCAUUUUCUGUUUGAUGGUCUUCUGUCUGGGUUCACCAUCGGCCCUGGCUUUGUGUGAUGAGUGUAGUUGUUAGUUGUAUAAUACAGGUUUGUCUCAGUUGUGCGUGAUGGUCUUAGUUGUACAUUUAAAUAAUACUCUUAGGUCUGCACAUAAAAACGGGCUGCAGACCUGUAUCCACUUUUCUGGGAAUCAGCCUCAGUUAAGUCAGCGAGACUUACUUCAGAGCGGACCUUGGGGGGAUUGUGUUGUGAGGGUUCAGAAUGGAUAUGAACAGCUCGCUUUGUGUCUGUUCAACAGAAAAGCAUCUGGACAAGAAAUUUUCUCUCUACUUAAUGGCCUCAUGGGAGAUUGUGAUGUUCAAAUGCUCCCCGAAGUUCUUGGCCUAGAAGAUAUUCUCUCUCUCAGGACUAGGGAGAGAUGAUGCGGUGUUGGACAGGGCAAUGUGGUUGUAUCUUUAAAUAGCUGUAUAUUUGAAGGAAUUUCAGUAGCUUGAAAACAGAAUACGUGGAUGUGCCAAGCAGCAUCUGCCUACAUCUCCUCUGUUAGACGGUACAUUUAUUUGGCUAAGAUAGGGAACAUCAUAUAGUUCUAUGGCUGAAAGCUUUUCCUAAUGAAAAGCAGGUAGCUUGGAACAUGUGAAGCAUUUAGUUCCCUAAUAAACCAUCCAUGGCACCAACA